CCUACGGGUGGCAGCAGUGGGGGAUAUUGCACAAUGGGGGGAACCCUGAUGCAGCGACGCCGCGUGGGUGAAGAAGCGCCUCGGCGCGUAAAGCCCUGUCAGCAGGGAAGAAAAUGACGGUACCUGAAGAAGAAGCCCCGGCUAACUACGUGCCAGCAGCCGCGGUAAUACGUAGGGGGCAAGCGUUAUCCGGAUUUACUGGGUGUAAAGGGGGCGUAGACGGCGAGGCAAGCCAGGCGUGAAAGCCCGGGGCUCAACCCCGGGACUGCUCUUGGAACUGCGUGGCUGGAGUGCAGGAGGGGCAGGCGGAAUUCCUGGUGUAGCGGUGAAAUGCGUAGAUAUCAGGAGGAACACCGGUGGCGAAGGCGGCCUGCUGGACUGCAACUGACGUUGAGGCCCGAAAGCGUGGGGAGCAAACAGGAUUAGAUACCCUAGUAGUC
rnacentral:rRNA from 1 species